AAUGUCACGGGUCCUAGGGGAUGACCUUAAAACGGAUUUCCCGUGUCACAGUAGGUGUGGCACGCUAAAGAAUCCUCACUGCUCAAUGGCCGUAAGCGCCGAGCAUCGGCUUAGAUUUGAAGCCCUUCACUGGUCUUGGUGACGUCUCCUUAUAAGUGAAAAAGAGGAACGUUAAACAAGAUACGUAUACAAUCAAAUCAAUCAAUCUAUAAGACUUGUUUUAUGUGCUACUCUCUAUUCCCAGGUGGACAGAUGAUGGACGAUAAACUAUAAUAUUCAGACGUAUGACUGUUUUCUGUGUGCAUGAGAGAAUGAUUUUAUGUCAUGAAAAGUUACAUUAUAACCAUACAUUGCUUGUGAGACAAUCACACAGGGGACACAUGAAAAUGUAAUCAGUGACUAAAAUAGUAUAGGGUCUGUAAGUCUCGUCAUGUGAUUGCCGAGAUUUAGCGAGAUUUUUAACUUCCGGGUACAUCAACUUCUCGUAUUGCACUGUGUAGAGAGCGAUAUACAUAGAUAUAGCGUUAUCAAUCGAUUAUGUGGAGGUUUUAAAGAGAUAAACAUGGGGAUUGAAGCAUUAGUGGAGUCGUCGAGGAUUCUUCGCUUCGUGUUUGACGAAUUACGUGUAAUAACCGUCCGUGUACAAGCGUCGAUGAAGGUACGUCUUGCAGAUAAAGUGCAGAUAUGCCUUGAAUCUGAGGAUGAAGGUGAUGUGCACUCUGAAGUCAUCAUCAACAUGGAUGUCUGAUGCCAGUAUGUCCAUAAUGGGGCAGUAUAAGUGUCAAUCUUCAUAUGACAACAAGUUUUCAAAGGCAGAUAUAAGAAGGCAAAUAUAACUGAUGUAAAAUACGCCGGUAGUUGGAUAAAACAUACAAAGUCGGCAUAGCCAAAGGUCACAACAACAAUGGAGGAAUUAACUGCAUCCUCAUUUCUCAGGACAACCCCUGAAAUUCUUAAUUGAGGCUAAAUGCCCAUUUUCAGCUGGAACAAUGACAAUUAAAGAGGCCUGUGCAAAUGUUGGGAUUUCCCUCUUAAAUGUGAUGCAAGGGAUGGUUCGCUGCACCUCAAAACAAAGUAUGAAUAUUGGCAUCAGAUUCAAGGACAACAAUACCUUAAAGACACCUAAUGCUGUGAUUUGCUAGUGUGGAUUCCUAUUGACACUCAAAUAGUUCACAUUGACAAAGAUGUAUUAUGGUCAACAAACAUUUUAAGCGUGAUAGAGUUUAAUUAUAAUCAGUCAUUUUUCAACAUUUUUCAAAAGGGUUCUGUGACUUUUGAAUUUGGAAAAAUUGUCAACAUUCUGAUCAAAUUAGGAAAACCUAGACAUUAUUGUAAACAUGCUAAAUAUAUCAUAUCAAACAAGAAAUCAAAACACAAAUUGAUGUCAUUCUUCUUUUAUUUUACAUAUUCAACUUUCUUUUCUUUAAGCUCUUAAAAUUUUCGACUAUUCUUUCUAAAUUAUUUAGAACUGAUGUGUCUUUGUCAUGUCAUACAUAAACUAUUCGCAUUGAACUUAUUUUUUAACACAUACGUUUUUUGCCAGUUUUUAUUAUUGGGAAAAGUGCAAGUUGAAUUGGAAAAAUAUUGGUAAAUUUUGGAAGGGAAAAGGGCUUAUAUUCGGACCUAAAAAUGGGUCUUUAAAAAAUCACUGAUAAUAAUAAAAUAUUUUGCAGUCUAAAACACACACAUAAACACAUUUACCUGUACAUAUACUUUAUUACGAUAUCAGUGGUGCAUCAAUCAAAGUUAUGUAAUUACAUGUGUACUAUUGGAUAAACAUUAUAGACAGAGUUUUUCUUAUUUUAGAUGAACCAAAAUAUGUAAAGACAGUGUCCAGCUUUACAAAAAUCAUUAAAUUACAAGCAUUUACUAAAAACAAUGGAUUUUUCAUUUUUUUUGUUUUAAUAAUGCAGAUUUGAAAACCUUUAGAAUGAGAACAAAAGGCUUUAUUGUUAAUUGAUUGUAUACUGUUUAACGUUCUACUCGAGAAUAUUUCACUCUUAUGGAGAUGUUCCAAAAGGCUUUAUAUUUAUAUGAAAAUGUAGAAAGUUAUAUAGCAUGUAUGGUAUUCAUUACAUUUAACUUUAAAAAUUCAAUGUGGCAGGUAUGUGCAGAUUUAAGGUAUAUAUAUACAUGCAAUUGAUCUAAUAAGUUUGUAGAAUUUAUCUGCAAUCUUCUUCAAAAGGAGAACCUAAAAUUCACAUGGGCCACACAAAGCUGAAAUAUUUUGACAGAUCAGAUACUAUGGCUACGGAUUUUUUUUUAUUAUUCUUUUUUUCGUAUCCAACAUGGAUUCUGCAUCUGCAAAUUUUAUAGCAAAGUUGUGCAUCCUCUUUUGAGAAGUGGGAUUUAUUUGUAAGAAAGAGUGGGAUAUAUUAAGUGUCAUGUCAUUUGGAAGUUUGUCAAAUAUACAAAAUCCUUUGUCCGCCAGGAACAUAUCACCAACUUGCAACUUCUCUAAUAUGCCACAAUGGUUCACAAUUGCCGAAUCAGAUUUGUAUCCAGCAUAGAGAUGGAAAAGAGCUGCAUUAGGUGUAAUACACAUUAAAAGUCUUUUCUUUGUGGCGACUCUUGUAAUUACUGUAAGCGAAAGACUGGCUAUUCAUAUCAAUUUGGUCAUAUUAGGUCACUUCUGUUGCAUCCAUUGCAAUCUUCAAUUCUUCUGACUUUGGUAUUUCAGUUGAAUGGACACUCCCAACAGUGUUCAUGAUCCCUUCAA